GCACCCAGUUGGAAUUCUCUCUCCUUUAAACCUGCAGCAAUCCUUUGCUUCCUAGAACAUUCACUAAAGGGAAACAAAUCUCACAACAAAAACCAAGCAGCAAGCAAGGGUUUGGACUGACAAGUAAUUGGAUAGGAGUGAAGUCUUCAUACCAGAGUCUAUUGGAUGUUUUGUAAGGUGUGCUCAUGUUGAUCAUCAAUCCCUGAUUGACAGAACUAAGAACUGCCUAAGAACACCCAGGCCCAGAAGUUCACAUUUUUAAUUAUGCAAUUCAGUGACCAGGGACAGGAAAUAGGAACGAAAAUGUUGAUGCCCGAAUGAAAGAUUUAUCUCAGAAAAAAUAUAAAACAGGAUGGUUCUACAGUU